rnacentral:lncRNA from 10 species
GAGGGUUGGGCACAUGGUUCAGUCCUGUAAUCCCAGCACUUUGGGAGACUGAGGUGGGCAGAUUGCUUGAGUGCAGGUAAAUCAGAAGACAAAAAUUAGAAUGUGGGCUUCAGACCCUGAAGGAUUGGAUGAAGUGCUGGAGCUCUCAGAGCCACAUUUCAUGACCCUUGUUUGACAGGAACUUUGCUAACAGAUGCAGGGAGGGACAGCCUUUGGAAUUCCUUGAGGUAAUGUUAUGUUAUACCAAAAAUAUCUACUAGGGUUUUACAGAAAUGCCAAACAUUUUCGUAGAGUCUUUGGAAUUCCUGUAGAAGGGUUUUACAUAGGAGCCAUCAUUUUUAGUGUACAAAUUUUCUUGUGAUUUCAUCAUGGAACAUUUUAGUCUUCCAAAUAUAUUUUUGAGAAACAACUUUGAGAGAGAAUUUUUUUUUCAUAAGAUAAAGAGCCCUCAUUAAGAAGUGUGAAAAUUUUCUUAAUUUCAAUAGAAGAAUAAUAUUCUAAAGUCUCAAUAUAGAUAUGUGAGAAUAUAGAAAAUACUUUUCAUUUUGGGACAGGUCAUUUAUAAAAGGUAAUUUAUUUGACAAUUUCACCAUUUUCAAUGCCUAAAAAAGAUAAGUUUGGCAUGAUGCACCACUAUCAUUUUGUUGCUUUAAAAAAUACAUUGCUAAUUAGACCUUGGAAACAACAUUUUUAGAGUUUGUUUUGCAGAGAAACACAGAUACUCCUUAAGGUGACAUGAACACUUGGUAGCAGAAUAGAAAUAAUAGUAAUCAAUAUAUUGUUGAGUCUGGACACUCCAUGACCCUUAAACUACUAAAGGAC